GGUUGUAAAGCACUUUAAGCGAGGAGGAGGCUACUUUAGUUAAUACCUAUAGAUAGUGGACGUUACUCGCAGAAUAAGCACCGGCUAACUCUGUGCCAGCAGCCGCGGUAAUACAGAGGGUGCAAGCGUUAAUCGGAUUUACUGGGCGUAAAGCGCGCGUAGGCGGCUAAUUAAGUCAAAUGUGAAAUCCCCAAGCUUAACUUGGGAAUUGCAUUCGAUACUGGUUAGCUAGAGUGUGGGAGAGGAUGGUAGAAUUCCAGGUGUAACGGUCGAAAUGCAUAGAGAUCUGGAGGAAUACCGAUGACGAACGCAGCCAUCUAGCCUAACACUGACGCUGAGGUGCGAAAGCAUGGGGAGCAAACAGUGAUUAGAUACCCUGGUAGUCCAUGCCGUAAACGAUGUCUACUAGCCAUUAGGGCCUUUGAGGCUUUAGUGGCGCAGCUAACGCGAUAACUAGACCGCCUGGGGAGUACGGUCGCAAGACUAAAACUCAAAUGAAUUGACGGGGGCCCGCCCAAGCGGUGGAGCAUGUGGUUUAAUUCGAUGCAACGCGAAGACCCUUACCUGUCCUUGACAUAGUAAGAACUUUCCAGAGAUGGAUUGGUGCCUUCGGGAACUUACAUACAGGUGCUGCAUGGCUGUUGUCAGCUCGUGUCGUGAGAUGUUGGGUUAAGUCCCGCAACGAGCGCAACCCUUUUCCUUAUUUGCCAGCGAGUAAUGUCGGCAACUUUAAGGAUACUGCCAGUGACAAACUGGAGGAAGGCGGGGACGACGUCAAGUCAUCAUGGCCCUUACGGCCAGGGCUACACACGUGCUCCAAUGGUCGGUACAAAGGGUUGCUACCUAGGGAUAGGAUGCUAAUCUCAAAAAGCCGAUUGUAGUCCGGAUUGGAGUCUGCAACUCGACUCCAUGAAGUCGGAAUCGCUAGUAAUCGCGGAUCAGAAU
rnacentral:rRNA from 1 species